AAGCAACACUCUGUUGCCAAUGAUUGAAAUUGUCUGAUACAAUUUGAGCUUUCUAUAUAGCAAGAAAGCCUAACCUAUUCUGGUGAUUUAAUCUUUAUGAGAUAUGUCAUUAUUUGGGCUUAAACAGU
rnacentral:snoRNA from 1 species